GACGAACGCUGGCGGCGUGCUUAACACAUGCAAGUCGAGCGGAGCGGCGAACGGGUGAGUAACGCGUGAGUAACUGCCCCCCUCUCUGGGAUAACAGUUGGAAAAGGCUGCUAAUACCGGCUAGUGGGGGAUGACUCGCGUCCGAUCAGCUUGUUGGUGGGGUAGGGGCCUACCACGGCGAAGACGGUUAGCCGGCCUGAGAGGGGGGACGGCCACAUUGGGCUGAGAUACGGCCCAAACGCCUACGGGAGGCAGUAGUGGGGAAUAUUGCCCACUGGGGGAACCCCUGAUGCAGCAACGCCGCGUGCGGGAUGACGGCCUUCGGGUUGUAAACCGCUUUCAUCCAUGACGCGGUAGUGGCAGAAGAAGCACCGGCUAACUACGUGCCAGCAGCCGCGGUAAUUC
rnacentral:rRNA from 1 species